rnacentral:rRNA from 1 species
GAUGAACGCUGGCGGCGUGCUUAAUACAUGCAAGUCGAGCGAAAGGACGAGAAGUUUGCUUCUCAGAUGUUAGCGGAGGACGGGUGAGUAACACGUGGAUACCCUCCCUCUAAGACUGGGAUAACUUCGGGAAACCGGAGCUAAUACCGGAUAAUAUUUUGAACCGCAUGGUUCAAAAGUGAAAGACGGUCUUGCUGUCACUUAUCGAUGGAUCCGCGCUGCAUUAGCUAGUUGGUAAGGUAACGGCUUACCAAGGGAACGAUGCAUAGCCGACCUUAGACGGGUAGCGGCCACACGAGAACGUAGGGACGGAUCAGACUUCUACGAGAGGCCACAGUAGUGAAUGAUGCGGAAGUGGCGAAAACCUGACGGUGCGACGCCGCGUGAUGGAGCGAGGUCGUCUGGGCGUAAAACUCUUUUAUGUGGGAAGCACAUAUGUGUAAGUAACUGUCCACAUCUUGACGGUACCUGAACAAAAAGCCACGGCUAACUACGUG